CGAAAUUGAUGGAUGCGUGCGUGACCGAAGAAGCGGCCGACCAAGGAGAAGGGACUCUUUUGGGAUUUGGCCAAGUAAAGCUGACGAGAGAAGGCCAGGGACAGAGUCCAUCAGGUGUAGGAGGAGCAGGGGCCGGUUCUAGGCAUAAGGGACCUCUAGGGGGCCCUGACUGCAGCAGCAGCAAGCCAUAGUGGCACGGGGGAGGAAGCAAACUUUACAGGAGGACCUCAGUUUGUGUGACCUCGGUUUUCCGUGACCUCAGUUUACCUCAGCGCUGCAUCAGAAGCCCGUCUAGACAUCGUUCGCUGAAUGUUCAUUAUGAAUUAGUGUAACUCACUGCAGCAACAAAAAAUAAUUUAAAUAAUCUUAACAGAACAAUUGUCAUUUUAUUAUGCCCAUAUAUAUAAAAUAUUUUUCCAUUCUAUAAGCCCAUCCUCACCAAAAGGUUAAAAAUACGGCCCAUGUGGCAUUUGCCACAAUUGCCAGAUGGACAAUUCCCCCUUUGCUGUGUAAGAAUCCAAACUCCUUUAAGUUAACCCCUUGAUCAUCUUUGCCCUCAUCCACCCUCCAUCAAAAACCAUCUGGCAGUAACACCAAAACCCUCAUGCAAACUUGCCCCCUCCCCCCCCCAUGUGGCUUUCACAUUUUAUCACCAUAAGCUAGCUUGAGGGUCUGGAUGGGAAUAGGAAACAUCCAUCAAUGGCCAAUCUGGCUGCAGUGCACAUGCAGAGUUUACAAGACAGAGAAAUGAAUCACGCUUGGAAGGAGAAAGGAGGGGGCAAUAUAAAGGUAGAUUAAUGAGUAAUAACGCAGAGGAAUAGUGACUAUUCAUCACAUCCCCAAAAUAAAGUGCUUUAAGAGUGGCGAUGGAGAUGCAUCUGUCUUAUAGUAACACUAUCACCGCUAGCCACUCAGGAAACUGUAAAGCUACUUCCAUUCUAACCUGCAGGGGGCGUGUCAGAAUAAUACCUUCCUUAUGCUUAUGACCGCAUUGAAGCAAUAAGGCACCAGGUGGUGUGGUAUAUGGCCAAUAUACCACAGCUAAGAGCUGUACGAAACGCAUCACGGUUAUGACAUUGUUUAUGCGAGCAUUAAGGGGUCUCUGAGGUUUGUGAUACAUGGGCUAGUGAUGGCGACAUGAGGCUUCAUUACCGUUCUUCUAGAAACAGGAUAUUAUGCUAGCAGUGCUAACUCAGAUUUUCUUUUUCAAAAUAAAAGCCAUCAUUGAAAUGUAUAUAAGGCAAUCUAGUCUGUACAUUUCAUGUUUAAUGUCCAUUCCAAUAUAGUUUGUGUCUGUUCUUUUCUACAGACUAUAUAGCCAUAUCAUUUUCAAUAAUGGCUUUUAUUGUGAUGAAGAAAAUGAAUGCUGCCAGCAUAAUUGACUGCUGCUAAAAUAACGCUAAUGAAUCCUCGUUUGGCCAUCACUAACAUGGGCCAUAACCCCACACACCCUCGCCCCUUAUUGAUUACAUAUAUCAUGGCUAACUCCGUGUUUUAGUGCAUCUCCAUCUCUUCUCAACUACAACCACAGCCUGUUUGAAUCGCAGUGACUCUGGGAAGAGGUAUGGUCUUUAUAUAGAAACAUAUGUACAAGCACUGAAGACAGUACUUGAAUUGAAAGGAUAUAUACCAUUUAACAAAGGAAUACAUAAUUCUAUGCCAACACGUUAAACAGCAUAUAUAUACACUGUUGGGUGGUGUUUACAAAAACUGGAAAUAUAGUGAGACUGGUGAAAUGGGUGGUGCUUCUGUUGCGCUACUUGCAAAAUAUUUGUAUUAUAAAGUAUUUGAGAGUAUCCCCCUCAGUAAUGAAAUAAACCCAAGAGGCUUUAUUGAACACGUAAGACGCUUUCACACAGUGACAAACACAGACAACUGAAAUGCUUGAAAUGAAGAAAAAUAAAGAAAAACUGAGAAAAAAAAACAUUUUAUUGCACUUAAGUUGUAAGAAAAUAAAAAUUCUAAGUUGAAUCAAACAAAUACACAAUCCCUUUUAAGUUUUUUUUUUUUUUUUUUUUAAUCCUGUCUGCUUUCUUUUUGCAAGUCAGUUACAUGAAUGAACUGAAAAAAUAAAACACCUGCAAUAUCUGAUUUCUCAAACCAGAUGAUAAAUUAAAACAGAAGAAAAACAAACAAAGAGGAGAAAGAACAAGAUUGUUUCUUUUUUUUUUUAAUAUACAGUGUUAUACCACUUUCACAGUUCAGCUUGAGCUCCUUUCUGGGCAGAUUGACUUUGAUGAAUUGUUUUGGCUACAAUGUUCUGUUUACUUGAAGGUUGCCUGUAGGUACGUUUUCCAUUCAUAAACCAUCAGGCGACUGACUGCUAAGUGCAGUUCCCCGGUAACAUUGUUGACGACAAUUCAUAACACUAAGACUCUUUGCUUCAACUGUAGUUGUUGGACUUUGUGUCGGUUGGAUCCGUUUGUUGUUGUCGCUUCGAACGUGCCAAUGAUGACAACAAUUGCAUGUGGACAAUGGACAGUUCUUUCAUUCGCUCUUUUUUUUUUUUUAUUUUAAACCAAAAAUACAUUUACUAAUUUUUCCUUUUACUCUUUGCCUUUCCACACAGCAUCUAGAGACAGUUUCCCACAGAACAGGCUGAAAGAGCUUUGUCCCAAGGAAUGUGUUAACAUUUUGCCCAAAAGCAUAAUCAAGCACGCACGCACACACUUUACUUCCCAUCGUUUCCUCUAUGCCGGCAAACCAGUCUGUCUGUCCAACACACUCUCUCGUCUAAGCCUCGUUGAGGCGCGUUUGGCUCAAGUUUCAGUGGCAAAAACAAAGGUUGUUUGUAUUUAUCAUGUUUCUCUCUUUAAAAAGUCCAAACAUUGGAAGAGUCAAUUUUGGAAUUUAGUCUGGGACUAAAACGUCACAGCAAGUUAAAGUUCCAUCUUUUUAUCUGUUUUUGUAGUUUUUUUUUUUUGUUUUGUUUUUUACUAGCAGCAUAAAUACAGUUUGGCCACUGGGAAAAUAGUACUGGGUUGGAGGGGGCCUCUAUUACGGUUCUCUCCCCCUGUAUUGAGGAACCUACCCAGCCAGACUGGUUGAAAAACUCAGGACAGCAUGUCGCUAUUUGGAGACUUAACAUCCCCAGACAUUAGCUAGAAAUAAAAGGAAAAACCCAAACAGAAAUGAGACAUGGUGAGAUAAAAGCAAAGAAGUGACUAGAACAGGGUAACACUGGGACUCGUUGCCAUUGGCAACAGUAAGGAACCGACUACCCCCCCCCCCCCCCCCCCCCAAGAACAAACAAAACCCAUUUUCUUUCAACUAUUUGAAUGGUUUUAGCUACAAAUCGAACUCCAAUUCAUGUAUAUAUGUGACCCUGGAACUAACAGACUGAUGAACAAUAGGAAACAGAAUUAACAGUAAACAUGAUAUAAGGCCUGAUGCUUUAGGCUUAUCCUGUUAUUUUUUUUUGUUGGACCAAUCAGAUUCUUGGCUUGACGUCUCUCUUAAUCUCCCUGACCAGAACCUCUUUGCUAAUAUUUUGCGUGUUUUCAAUAAAAUGUAUUCUAAUUCGACAUUGAAGUUUUCAUCUGCCUUUGCCUCCUAAUUGUGUAACAGUGCGGGUUCAUGUCCAUUUAAUAAUCGGUUGGCGCUUUGUUGGGGAUAAAAAAUAAUCUAUCUUUGUACAUCUGAACGAACACUUGUCAGGCUUGACCGAACAAGUCUCUGUUGCGAAGAAGCUGCCCCAGUAGCCGCAGAGUGGAGUCACUUCUUCGUCAGUUCCUGUCUUUUUUCUGCUCCUCCUUAAGCGGAUGAGUCAGUUCCACUUGGCCUUAGCCUACUGUAGGAGUGGUCAGGCCACACCCCCUUACAGGCCACACAACCUUCCACCCCUCCUGAUUCUGACUCCGCCCCCCACAGUUGGGAGGGGACCAAAGUAGGAGGUGCUGGGGCUGACAGAGGUGCCUGCUGAUGGGGAGGGGCCAGAUGUGGAGGGGGAGGGGCCUGUUGUGGUGGUGGUGGUGUUGAGGGUGGGGGUGUUUUCGUGUGCUCGCUGGCGCGCGCACGAGUGAGUAGUUUUAGGGCGACGUUGCCCUUUGGAUGUCGUGUCGUCUCCUCAUUCACCCUUCACCCCGUCUCGCUCCUCCCAGCUCCU
rnacentral:lncRNA from 1 species